AACAGCUUUUCCCAAGGUAACCUGGUUCCCAGAUCUAAUACCUGGUUGAUAUGGCAACAUUGGUGCCUGUUCCCUUUCAAGGCAGGACAUCUCAAUAGGGACAUCUCAAUAGGGACAUCUCAAUUUGAGUUCCCUGCGUGAGCAGCUGAGGCCUCUGUUGCAACCAUCACAGUUCAACAUCUUCCUCUGUCUCUCUUACUCUCUAAUAGAUUGCUGUUCCCAACUGCAGUCUCCAGUAUACCUUCUGUCUGUCAAGUCCCAUCUUAGAAUUGGCUUCCUGGGGAACCAAUGAAAUAGUCAAAUGUUCAGACUACAAAGUCCUUGAGGUAAACCAGAAUCUUCUUCCCUAAGAUUAGUUGUCAGCUCAGAAAGGAAGGAAAGAAGAGGACCCCCUCCUCCCACCCCCACUGAGGACAGUGCUGGAGUGGGUUGGCCAGACAUUCCAGAGAAAAUUGUGAAAUCCAGCAGGAAUCCAGCCAGGCUAGAUCCUGGUCUGCUGCUGGAAUAUGUCAUUUAAUAUAUAAAACCCAGUGGUGAAAUACUGGCUGCCUCCAGAUACAGCGCUGGGUUUAAAUAUAUUAAAUGAUGCCAAAGAAAGAAUCCAUGCCAAGUUUCUCUGAGCCUCACUCAGUCAUUCCUGCA
rnacentral:lncRNA from 1 species